CUCCAUCUUCAUAAACCUUCAUAAACCCACUGAUCCAUCGUCUACCUGAGACAGCAUCAGUCAAACUUAACUUAUCUCUGUUUUUAGCAUUUCUCCUGAG